CAAAUAAUCUGAACCAGGGUAAAACCAUUACAAAGUGGCCUUCAAACAUCAUGUCUGUAUUGGAACUGAAUGAUUGAUCAGACAUUUAAAUACGGAAACUGGGAAUUCAGCUGACCAGAAUUUCACCAGGGUGACAUGACAGUUUGUUGCUAAGGAACUGAAGACUAUGUCAUAAGUGAGCAUUCUGAUGAAGAGGAGUGAACAGUUUGCAGCAGAUUGGAUAUUAAGUAUAAAUCAGCUCUCUGUGUAUGUCCCUGUGUGGUGGUGUAACUGACAACAGGUAGGGUUCCUGAUGGGAUUGGGUUCCACCAAUCAGAGCCACUUGCAUGAGACCUCAACUGAGAGCCAGAUGGAAACCACUGGACAGUAGUGACAUGGUUAAGUGGAGUCUGAGCCAUUCUCUUGGAAAAGCAAGCAAUCAUCAGAAUAAUGGGUAUGAAGACAAUGCAAUGACAAGGGAAGUGCUGCUGAGAUUGACUGACAAAUGACAACAGGAUAAGAAACUGAAUGCAAGAUGUGCCCCUCUCCCCCUACCAAGAAUAGAAGCCCCUAGGAGCGAGACUUUUGAUCUAUUUUGUUCAGGGUCCUAUCCCCAGCAAGUGGCAAUGGUAGGC
rnacentral:lncRNA from 1 species